GAUGAACGCUAGCGGCAGGCUUAAUACAUGCAAGUCGUGGGGCAGCAGGUUUGUAGCAAUACAGAUGCUGGCGACCGGCAAACGGGUGCGGAACACGUACAGAACCUUCCUUUGAGCGGGGAAUAGCCCAGAGAAAUUUGGAUUAAUACCCCAUAGUAUAAUGAAGUGGCAUCACUUUAUUAUUAAAGAUUUAUCACUCGAAGAUGGCUGUGCGGCUGAUUAGGUAGUUGGCGGGGUAAAGGCCCACCAAGCCUGCGAUCAGUAACUGGUGUGAGAGCACGACCAGUCACACGGGCACUGAGACACGGGCCCGACUCCUACGGGAGGCAGCAGUAAGGAAUAUUGGUCAAUGGAGGCAACUCUGAACCAGCCAUGCCGCGUGGAGGAUGAAGGUCCUCUGGAUUGUAAACUUCUUUUAUAUGGGACGAAAAAAGGCUUUUCUAAGUCGUCUGACGGUACCAUAUGAAUAAGCACCGGCUAACUCCGUGCC
rnacentral:rRNA from 1 species